AACGAACGCUGGCGGCAGGCCUAACACAUGCAAGUCGAGCGAGGACUUCGGUCCUAGCGGCGGACGGGUGAGUAACGCGUGGGAACGUGCCCUUUGCUUCGGAAUAGCCCUGGGAAACUGGGAGUAAUACCGGAUGAGCCCUUUGGGGGAAAGAUUUAUCGGCGAAGGAUCGGCCCGCGUUGGGUUAGGUAGUUGGUGGGGUAAUGGCCUACCAAGCCGACGAUCCAUAGCUGGUUUGAGAGGAUGAUCAGCCACACUGGGACUGAGACACGGCCCAGACUCCUACGGGAGGCAGCAGUGGGGAAUCUUAGACAAUGGGGGAAACCCUGAUCUAGCCAUGCCGCGUGAGCGAUGAAGGCCUUAGGGUUGUAAAGCUCUUUCAGCUGGGAAGAUAAUGACGGUACCAGCAGAAGAAGCCCCGGCUAACUCCGUG
rnacentral:rRNA from 1 species